rnacentral:lncRNA from 1 species
UUGAGCUUGGGCUGUCCGCCAUACCGGGGGACCUGGAUCCCCUGACGGCUUACCUAGCAGUGCCCAGGAUGGUGGCUGAGGGUAAAGCUGACAGAACUGGAGGUGGAGGAAGUAGCAGGCCAGAGAGGACUCGAAGAUCCUUAGAAGGAGCCAUAGACGGAACCAUAGGAGGCGCCCAGGAGCUAUGGGCUCCAGAAGUUUCCUCCUAAACUGUGGUCUCAGCGAGGCUCAUUGACACUCACCGGGGUUUCGACAUUCUCCCUGGCUAGGGCCUGUUCUGGAAAUAGACCAAGGGGGAGAUGGAGCCCCUGGCCGUGGGACAUCCAAUCUGAUGGUGAUGAGAAGGCAUGAUGCCUCUUGUUCUAUUCUUUUUUGUUUCUUCUUUUUUUUUAAAUAAAAAAGACCAGUAAUGUGCUGACUUCAU